rnacentral:rRNA from 1 species
CAGCAGGCGCGAAAACUUUACAAUGCCGGCAACGGCGAUAAGGGAACCUCGAGUGCCAGGUUACAAAUCUGGCUGUCGUGAUGCCUAAAAAGCAUUGCAUAGCAAGGGCCGGGCAAAACCGGUGCCAGCCGCCGCGGUAACACCGGCGGCUCGAGUGGUAACCGUUAUUAUUGGGUCUAAAGGGUCUGUAGCCGGCCGGGUAAGUCUCUUGGGAAAUCUGGCAGCUUAACUGUCAGGCUUUCAGGAAAUACUGCCUGGCUCGAGGCCGGAAGAGGUGAGAGGUACUUCAGGGGUAGGGGUGAAAUCUUGUAAUCCUUGAAGGACCACCAGUGGCGAAGGCGUCUCACCAAAACGGACCUGACGGCAAGGGACAAAAGCUAGGGGCACAAACCGAAUUAAAUACCCGGGUAGUCCUAGCCGUAAACGAUACUCGCUAGGUGUCGGCCACGGUGCGACCGUGGUCGGUGCCGUAGGGAAGCCGUGAAGCGAGCCACCUGGGAAGUACGGCCGCAAGGCUGAAACUUAAAGGAAUUGGCGGGGGAGCAC